rnacentral:rRNA from 1 species
AUACAUGCAGUCGAGCGGAAGAUGGGAGCUUGCUCCCUGAUGUUAGCGGCGGACGGGUGAGUAACACGUGGGUAACCUGCCUGUAAGACUGGGAUAACUCCGGGAAACCGGGGCUAAUACCGGAUGGUUGUUUGAACCGCAUGGUUCAAACAUAAAAGGUGGCUUCGGCUACCACUUACAGAUGGACCCGCGGCGCAUUAGCUAGUUGGUGAGGUAACGGCUCACCAAGGCAACGAUGCGUAGCCGACCUGAGAGGGUGAUCGGCCACACUGGGACUGAGACACGG